GAUAAACGCUGGCGGCGUGCUUAACACAUGCAAGUCGAACGAAGUUUUUCCUUCGGGAGAACAUUAGUGGCGGACGGGUGAGUAACGCGUGGGUAACCUGCCCUGUACAGGGGGACAACAGCUGGAAACGGCUGCUAAUAUCGCAUAAGCCCUUAUCACUGCAUGGUGCAUAGGGAAAAUGAGCAAUCCCGCACAGGAUGGACCCGCGUCUGAUUAGCCAGUUGGCAGGGUAACGGCCUACCAAAGCGACGAUCAGUAGCCGAUCUGAGAGGAUGUACGGCCACAUUGGGACUGAGACACGGCCCAGACUCCUACGGGAGGCAGCAGGGGGGAAUAUUGCACAAUGGAGGGAACUCUGAUGCAGCGACGCCGCGUGAGUGAAGAAGUAUUUCGGUAUGUAAAGCUCUAUCAGCAGGGAAGAAAAUGACGGUACCUGACUAAGAAGCACCGGCUAAAUACGUG
rnacentral:rRNA from 1 species